rnacentral:rRNA from 1 species
CCUGCCUGUAAGACUGGGAUAACUCCGGGAAACCGGGGCUAAUACCGGAUGCUUGUUUGAACCGCAUGGUUCAAACAUAAAAGGUGGCUUCGGCUACCACUUACAGAUGGACCCGCGGCGCAUUAGCUAGUUGGUGAGGUAACGGCUCACCAAGGCAACGAUGCGUAGCCGACCUGAGAGGGUGAUCGGCCACACUGGGACUGAGACACGGCCCAGACUCCUACGGGAGGCAGCAGUGGUC